AAGCAUAUCAAUAAGCGGAGGAAAAGAAACNNACAGGGAUUGCCUCAGUAACGGCGAGUGAAGCGGCAAAAGCUCAGAUUUGAAAUCUGGCGUCAUAUUGGCGUCCGAGUUGUAAUCUGUAGAGGAGUAUUCGAGUGUGGCGCUGGCUUAAGUUCCUUGGAACAGGACGUCAUAGAGGGUGAGAACCCCGUUAACGGCCUUUGUCUUAUGCUCAUGUGAAUCUCCUUCGACGAGUCGAGUUGUUUGGGAAUGCAGCUCUAAAUGGGUGGUAAAUUCCAUCUAAAGCUAAAUACUGGCAAGAGACCGAUAGCGCACAAGUAGAGUGAUCGAAAGAUGAAAAGAACUCUGAACAGAGAGUUAAAUAGUACGUGAAAUUGUUGAAAGGGAAGCACUUGCUACCAGACACGCCUGUAGUUGAUCAACCUCCAUUCUUGGUGGUGCACUCAGCUAUAGGUGGGUCAGCAUCAGUUACGGCGGUGGGAUAAAGACCUGGGGAAUGUAGCUUCUUUCGGGAAGUGUUAUAGCCCUGGGUGUAAUACCGCCUGCUGUGACUGAGGCCCGCGCUUCGGCGAGGAUGCUGGCAUAAUGGUCGUAAGUGACCCGUCUUGAAACACGGACCAAGGAGUCUAACAUCUAUGCGAGUGUUUGGGUGUCAAAACCCUUACGCGGAAUGAAAGUGAACGUAGGUGGGAACCGCAAGGUGCACCAUCGACCGAUCCUGAUGUCUUCGGAUGGAUUUGAGUAGGAGCAUAGCUGUUGGGACCCGAAAGAUGGUGAACUAUGCCUGAAUAGGGUGAAGCCAGAGGAAACUCUGGUGGAGGCUCGCAGCGGUUCUGACGUGCAAAUCGAUCGUCAAAUUUGGGUAUAGGGGCGAAAGACUAAUCGAACCAUCUAG
rnacentral:rRNA from 1 species